AUUGAACGCUGGCGGCAGGCUUAACACAUGCAAGUCGAGCGGGGGAAGGUAGCUUGCUACUGGACCUAGCGGCGGACGGGUGAGUAAUGCUUAGGAAUCUGCCUAUUAGUGGGGGACAACAUCUCGAAAGGGAUGCUAAUACCGCAUACGUCCUACGGGAGAAAGCAGGGGAUCUUCGGACCUUGCGCUAAUAGAUGAGCCUAAGUCGGAUCAGCUAGUUGGUGGGGUAAAGGCCUACCAAGGCGACGAUCUGGAGCGGGUCUGAGAGGAUGAUCCGCCACACUGGGACUAAGACACGGCCCAGACUCCUACGGGAGGCAGCAGUGGGGAAUAUUGGACAAUGGGGGGAACCCUGAUCCAGCCAUGCCGCGUGUGUGAAGAAAGCCUUAUGGUUGUAAAGCACUUUAAGCGAGGAGGAGGCUACUUUAGUUAAUACCUAGAGAUAGUGGACGUUACUCGCAGAAUAAGCACCGGCUAACUCUGUGCCAGCAGCCGCCGUAA
rnacentral:rRNA from 1 species